AGCCCUCUACCAGACAGGCAGGAUGUUGAGGAUCCAGGUGUCAUGGCAUCCGGUCCUGCAGCGAGACUGCCAUGUGUGACACCAUGGCUGACAGCCAUGUGCUUCUGAUCCCAUUUUCUGAGCAUUCCUGUGGGCUUCAGCCUAUGAGCCACAUUGCAGCACAGUGAACAGCAAUGAUCCCCAAACAUGGGCUGGUGUGGUAUUCCU
rnacentral:lncRNA from 1 species